rnacentral:rRNA from 1 species
ACGGUCACACUGGGACUGAGACACGGCCCAGACUCCUACGGGAGGCAGCAGUGGGGAAUAUUGCACAAUGGGCGCAAGCCUGAUGCAGCGACGCCGCGUGAGGGAUGGAGGCCUUCGGGUUGUGAACCUCUUUCGCCAGUGAAGCAGGCCUGCUCCUUGUGGGUGGGUUGACGGUAGCUGGAUAAGAAGCGCCGGCUAACUACGUGCCAGCAGCCGCGGUAAUACGUAGGGCGCGAGCGUUGUCCGGAAUUAUUGGGCGUAAAGAGCUCGUAGGCGGCUGGUCGCGUCUGUCGUGAAAUCCUCUGGCUUAACUGGGGGCUUGCGGUGGGUACGGGCCGGCUUGAGUGCGGUAGGGGAGACUGGAACUCCUGGUGUAGCGGUGGAAUGCGCAGAUAUCAGGAAGAACACCGGUGGCGAAGGCGGGUCUCUGGGCCGUUACUGACGCUGAGGAGCGAAAGCGUGGGGAGCGAACAGGAUUAGAUACCCUGGUAGUCCACGCCGUAAACGUUGGGCACUAGGUGUGGGGGGCCUUUUCCGGGUCUUCCGCGCCGUAGCUAACGCAUUAAGUGCCCCGCCUGGGGAGUACGGCCGCAAGGCUAAAACUCAAAGGAAUUGACGGGGGCCCGCACAAGCGGCGGAGCAUGCGGAUUAAUUCGAUGCAACGCGAAGAACCUUACCAAGGCUUGACAUGUGCCGGUCGGCUCCGGAGACGGGGUUUCCUCCUUGUGGGGCCGGUUCACAGGUGGUGCAUGGUUGUCGUCAGCUCGUGUCGUGAGAUGUUGGGUUAAGUCCCGCAACGAGCGCAACCCUUGUCCCGUGUUGCCAGCACGUUGUGGUGGGGACUCGCGGGAGACUGCCGGGGUCAACUCGGAGGAAGGUGGGGAUGACGUCAAAUCAUCAUGCCCCUUAUGUCUUGGGCUUCACGCAUGCUACAAUGGCCGGUACAGAGGGCUGCGAUACCGUGAGGUGGAGCGAAUCCCUUAAAGCCGGUCUCAGUUCGGAUCGGUGUCUGCAACUCGACACCGUGAAGUUGGAGUCGCUAGUAAUCGCAGAUCAGCAACGCUGCGGUGAAUACGUUCUCGGGCCUUGUACACACCGCCCGUC